UUAAUACUCCUUCCGUCCAACAAAGGAUGUCUAAAUUUUAACUAAAUUUGAAUGCAUCUAUACACUAAGUUAUGUCUAGAUACAUUCAAAUUUUAACAAACUUGAGACAUUUUUUGUUGGACGGAGGGAGUACCAU
rnacentral:pre_miRNA from 1 species